AUUGAACGCUGGCGGCAUGCCUUACACAUGCAAGUCGAACGGCAGCACGGGUGCUUGCACCUGGUGGCGAGUGGCGAACGGGUGAGUAAUACAUCGGAACAUGUCCUGUAGUGGGGGAUAGCCCGGCGAAAGCCGGAUUAAUACCGCACACGAUCUACGGAUGAAAGCGGGGGACCUUCGGGCCUCGCGCUAUAGGGUUGGCCGAUGGCUGAUUAGCUAGUUGGUGGGGUAAAGGCCUACCAAGGCGACGAUCAGUAGCUGGUCUGAGAGGACGACCAGCCACACUGGAACUGAGACACGGCCCAGACUCCUACGGGAGGCAGCAGUGGGGAAUUUUGGACAAUGGGCGAAAGCCUGAUCCAGCAAUGCCGCGUGUGUGAAGAAGGCCUUCGGGUUGUAAAGCACUUUUGUCCGGAAAGAAAUCCUUUGCUCUAAUACAGUCGGGGGAUGACGGUACCGGAAGAAUAAGCACCGGCUAACUACGUG
rnacentral:rRNA from 1 species